rnacentral:tRNA from 1 species
GACUUCGGGGUGUAAUGGUUAGCACACUCGGCGCGUAUGCGAGAGGUCCAGGUUCGAAUCCCGGCGAGGACA